CAUAAACAUGAAAUCGCCUGUUUGACGAAGAGUCGUUAAAUAAUUGAUACUCUAAAAAAGUAGUUUAUUUGCUGAUUAUAGGAUGUGAAGUAUUUUAAAGGUACAUGAACAAUACGCGUUUACGGAGCAUGUGGGAUCUUUUCAGCAAAGAAAACACAUUGUUCAGGGGCACAUGAUUCUCAUUGUCAGCAUCAUUUUAGCAAAUAACUUGAAGAUUUCAAUGAGUCAAGAGGAGAUAAUAUAUUAAAUAUUAAGGUAUAUAUUACACAUUGAUAGUGAAACGAAAAGAAUCUUUUAUACAGAUUGAAGGGAACGAGAAAGCGUUGGAAAAGAAGGAAAGUUGCGGCUGUUCUUAACGGCGCCUCGACAUUGAAAAAUCCUCCAACCUAUUCGAAUCGAGGGUAAAAUAAGCGCACUUGGUACACCACGCAAAAUUACGCUACGAUACGCUUGGUUUCACAGGCGAUCUACUUUUCAGAGAUAACUGGAGUAAUUUACAUAUUUAGAUGAACUAAAAUCUUUGCCUGCUAGUGAAGAGAAUAAUUAUUACACAUUUUAAUUCAAGAACAAACUUGCAAUUUUAAUUUGCUUUUGUCCUGAUUGCAACGUGGUCAACUUUGUUCUCCAACAAACGACGAACCGUUUUAAAUUGUGCAACGUUAAAUGAACAGAUUGCAUGCAAUCUAAAACCACACCAUCUUCAAAGGGCACUUUCUCACGAUGUUCUUUCAUGUCUACAAACCUUUAACAGCAAUUACGUUGCACGGAAUCAGGUCUCGAAUUUUGUUACGGAAUAUUAUCGAAGAAGGUGUUAAAUAAUUUCACUGAAACUGAAAUGGAUCGUCACGCUCGGCCAAAGAAUGGUAAAUCUCAUUUCACGGAUCCAUCGAUUCCGGGAAGAGUGCUGUAAUACAGGAAACGAUAUACGCAACAGGGACAAAGGAUACUUAAUGGGGGUGAAAUCGUUUGCAAUGUUCAUUCUUCGACGAGCCAUUGUUCUAUUUUGUCGCUUAUCGGUUGUGCAUUAGUGCGAUCUUGUAGUUUCUUGUAGGUAAAUCUUGUUUCACUCUUGUUCUUCUCUUGUGUGUAAGGAAAUUUUGAAAUCACUUUUACUUAAUGGCAUUGUUGCUAGAAAACGAAAGUUUCAAGAUAAUUAUUUAUAAAAAGUGGCAAAGACGAGCAUUCUUAUUGUAGUUUAUAAAAAGGCAAUGAAACUAUGUUAAAAAUUUGUUUUAAAUGAUUAAUAUUUUACUGUAAAACAUUAAUGCAAUUAUAUUUUAAUUUAAACAUAAAUUCUAUAGUUGCAUAACGACUAUUUAUCUUCUCAUUCAUUGUCUUCAGAUGGUAGAUCAUUUGUAGCUACUGACAUUAAUUGCCAUUAAUUUAUGUCAAGUAAACGUAACACAAUCA